GAUGAACGCUGGCGGCGUGCUUAACACAUGCAAGUCGAGCGGAAAGGCCCUGCUUUUGUGGUGUGCUCGAGUGGCGAACGGGUGUGUAUGACGUGAGUAACCUUCCCGUGGCAUUGGGAUAACAUCAGGAAACUGAGGCCACAACCGCAUAGGGGGUCCUGGUGCGUGGUGUGCGGUGGUAAGGCUCGGAGGUUGGGGCUGGACUGGCGGGUUAUCAGCUUGGUGGUGGGGUAUUGGCUUACCAAGUCUGUGACGGGUAGGCGGCCUGAGAGCGUGACCGGCGACAAGGGGACUGAGAGACGGACCAGACUCCUACGGUAGGCAGCAGUCGGGAAUAUUGCACAACGGGCCCGAGCCUGAGGCGGCAGCGCCGCGUUCGUGAAGACCGCCUACUGGGGGUAAACCGCUUUCGCCUGUGACGAAGCCUGAGUGACGGUAAUGGGUAAAGAAGCACCGGCUAACUACGUG
rnacentral:rRNA from 1 species